AAAGGCAGCUGAUCGGGACGUUUAAACUGGAUGUCAGUCCCGAAUGGGGUGAUGGGAAGCCAGUCAUUCUUUUCAAUGGGUGGAUAGGGAUUGGCAAAAGCAAAAAUGAGAAUGGAAGACAUGGAGCAGAGCUUCAUUUGAGAGUGAAACUAGAUCCUGAUCCAAGAUAUGUUUUUCAGUUUGAAGAUGUUACUAGGUUAAGCCCGCAAAUUGUCCAGCUUCAAGGCUCAAUCAAACAGCCGAUCUUCAGCUGCAAAUUUAGUCGAGACAGGGUAUCCCAGGCGGAUUCAU
rnacentral:misc_RNA from 1 species